CAUUGAAGUGAUGAUAUCCUAUUCUGAAUUUUUUAAAUGUCGACUUAAUAUAUUCAGACUACAAUUAUCUGAUCAAUG